AGCGCCCCGCCCGCCCGCCCCUCCCCGCCCCUCGGGGACAUCCGGGCUCUGAGCCCGACUCUGUGCCGGGCGAGGGCCGGGAAGGGGUGGGAGAAGUCGCCGCCCGCGUCUGUCCAAACUUAGUCCCAAACUCAGGAGGUUCCUGUCCCAAGAAGCAAUGUAAAGUUUGAAACGAGCCGAGCGCGGUGGCUCACGCCUGUAAUCCCAGCACUUUGGGAGGCCGAGGCUGGCGAAUCAUUUGAGUAGAGACGGGGUUUCACCGUGUUAGCCGGGAUGGUCUCCAUCUCCUGAUCUCGUGAUCCGCCCUCUUCGGCCUCCCAAAGUGCUGAGAUUACAGACGUGAGCCACCGCGCCUUGCCUAUAUUAGGUUUUUAAAUAGCAAGAGGCAAAGCUUUUCGGUGUGAUCCUGACUUCACCUGGGGAAAAAGGGCAGACACAGGGUCUCACUGUGUUGGCCAGGCUGGAGUGCGGCAGUCUGGAACUCCUGGGCCCAAGUGAUCCUCCAAUCAGCCUCCCAAAGCACUGGAAUUACAGACGGAGUUUUGCUCUUGUUGCCCAGGCUGGAGUACAAUGGCGCAAUCUCGGCUCACUGCAACCUCCGCCUCCGGGGUUCAAGUGAUUCUCCUGCCUCACCCUCCUGAGUAGCUAGGAUUACAGGAGCCUACUACCACGGCCAGCUAAUUUUUUUGUAUUUUUAGUAGAGACGGGGUUUUACCAUGUUGGCCAGGCUGGUUUCAAACUCCUGACCUCAGGUGAUCCACCCGCCUCAGCCUCCCAAAGUGCUGAGAUUAUAGGCAUGAGCCACCGCGCCCGGCCCAUAGAUUACUUUUAUAAUCAGAAGUUUUUCUUUACUUUUUAAAGAGUAAAUUCUCUCACCUCAGGUAGCUCAGAGAGCUGCGCUGGAGGAGAAAAGCCAGUCCUGGCAGGAGCUCUGGUACCUGGGAAGCUGGAUGGAGAGCCUGGGCCAGAAUCCCAGACCCCUCACCUCUGCGGCCUGCUUUGUGACCUUGGCAAAUCCAUUCUAUGCGCCUCCAUUUCCUGUACAGUGGGGAUCCUUAUUUCUCUGGCACAGAUUGGUAUUUGUUCUGUAAAGUCCAGUACCACUUUAUUUUAUUUUAGUUAUUGAUUUUUUUGAGACAGGGCCUCACUCUGUUGCCAAGGCUGGAAUGCAGUGGCGAGAUCAUAGCUCACUGCAGCCUCAAACUCCUGGGCUCAGGCCAUCCUCCUGCCUCGGCCUCCUGAGUAGCUGGGACGACAGGCAUGCACCACUGCGCCUAGCUCCAGUACCAUGUUUAAACGGUGCUCAGAAAACUUGCUAAACUUGGUGGAUGGGAAUUGAAAAGAGAUUUAAUGUUUUAAAAAUCAAAGUCACUCAGCUGCAGUGCCACAUGGGAAGGAGGCCUGGAUGUGAAUGUUCCUGGGAGCUGAGAGCUCCUGUGACUGUCGCCAGUUUCCUGUGGUCUCCCACAGACUCAGGACAUCUCCGUCUGCUCCAGGACACCUCAGGACCACCAGAGGGCACUCAUCGCACCUUCACCCCUGGAAGAGAGCUGGUCCUGGGGCCAAAACCCACUGUGCCUGGGAAGCCCUUCCUGGCUUCUGCUCUCCUCAAUGUAUGACAGCCCUGAUUUACCCCCAGGGACUGUUGCUACUCGGGGUUGUAGAGUAAUAUGUAACCAGACUGGAGAACCACAGCAAUGCUCUCUCCUCUGCCCAUCACCUCCCCUUGGCCCCUCCCUCUUCAUCAGCCCCAUUUUGGAGAAGGGAGAAAGAAGGGAGAGGCAGCAGUCUCCUCCCAGGUGGGGCCGGAUUCCAGGGAAGGAGAAUUUUCAGAAGUUGCUGGAGUUGCCGAAUCUGUCAGGGCCCAGGGUUCACAGAGCAGUGAUGGAGGAGAAAGGAGAGGAAGCAGAUCUAAGCACACAUGGGCAUCAAACCAUAGGAACAAAGUCACAUGCAGAGGGCUGCACAUAGACACAGGGAAACACACACACGGAGAUGCACAGAAACACGCAGACCCCACACAGGAACCUGCUUUCCCACCACAGAGGAAAGCAAUCUGAUCAAACAGACCCACUGUGCACCCAGCCCUCCAUGCUUGGGGACAACACACCUACAAAAAUACAAGAAAAAAAAGGAAAACUGCUCUGCCUGGGAUGCCUUGCUUGACUUUUCUUGUAAAUAAGCAUUUGAAUGUGUUUUGUUCUAGGAGCUUUCGAGGCAGGCACAAAGGGAGCCCUUUCUCAUGCAGGAAGGUCCCUCUGCAGCCUCCCCCUUCCCUCCCCCUCCUGCCAUCCGCCCACAGGCUGAGGUGGCUUUAUUUCCGGGACCGAGUGUGGAUACCUCCUGUUUUAGAGAACCCUGAGAACCACUGUGCUAUUUCCAAGUUAAACUCUAGGCCG